CUCGCAGGCGGUCGCAUACGGCGGUGGUGAAAGCUCCCGGCUCAACUGGGAGAGGCCCGCCGCAACGGUGUGACUCGAGGGUGGUAGAGGCAGAUGGAAUUCCUGGUGUAGCGGUGAAAUGCGUAGAGAUCAGGAGGAACACCCGUGGCGAAGGCGGUCUGCUGGGCCACACCUGACGCUGAGGAGCGAAAGCUAGGGGAGCGAACGGGAUUAGAUACCCCGGUAGUCCUAGCCGUAAACGAUGGAUACUAGGUGUCAGCGGUAUCGACCCCGCUGGUGCCGGAGCUAACGCGUGAAGUAUCCCGCCUGGGGAGUACGGCCGCAAGGUUGAG
rnacentral:rRNA from 1 species